GCUGCUGCUGUUCCUCCUCUGGCCCGACUGCAGCUGCAGUGUUGAAGCGCUCUUGGGCUUGCCUGUCCUCCCUACCAGCGGGGGACCUCCACUCUCUGCAGCGAGCCUGGGGAGCCUCUGUCGUGGUUGGUGGUCGUUGUUCCAGUUCAGCCGUGUUUGGGGUCCUGUGGGGUACAGCGCGUCCUCAGAGGGCCGUCGUAGGCCGUUACUGUCGGCUCCAUAAUCCUGCUUUCCUCCGCAGACAGGAGCGGCACCGGUACGCGUCACUGGAUCUCCACCUGGAGAGCGUGAAUGUGGCAAGGGCUGAUAAUGUCCGCCGUGCAAGGACUGAAAUACUUUGAACAUUUGCUUUGUGCCGCGAGAGGGCAGAGGAACGCUUAAAACCCAAGGGACAGCUGUGCUUCCUUCACCAGUGGAAAACCCCUCCUUCCAAAACAGUCUGUAUCAAAGUUGAUUGAGGCCAAAGCGUCACCUCUUCAACCCAGAGCAGCAACAUGCAGGGAGCACCGCAAGUCUGUUGAUGGCCUCACUGUGAUCCUGCAGGGGCCUCGAAGCACUCACAUUUAAAAUAAAUGGAUUGCAAUGAUAAAA